CUUAGCCGAUGAAACUUUCUCUUCUUGUCCUAUGUCUCCUUUUUUUUUUUCCAUUUUUUUUUGUGUGGCGAUUCUUCUUUGUUCCUCCACCUAUGGCUUCAAUCAAUUCUAUCUUCAUCUCUGUUUGUUUUCAUCCUCUCAAGUUGUUAGAUCUCGGAUGUACCCUAGCACUCUGUCGCGGAUUUCGGAUCUUGGAUCUCAACCCAAUUGUUUCAUUGAUACAAGUGAAAGGGAGCAAAACUAUCUAGAAUGAGCUGGGUGUGUUCUAGGAUUAUAUCAAAGAGGUUCAAUAUUAGGAUGAAGAGCUCGAUCUUGAUUUGUGUGUAUUUCUCAAGCUAUUGAGGAUAUUCGACAGAGCAAGAUGGUAGUUGUUGUAGAUGAUGAGGACAGAAAAAUGAAUGAGAUUUGAUAAUGUUGGAAUCGUUGGUAACGUAGCUGAAGCUAUGCGCUUUUUUGGUUAAGCAUGAGACUAGAAUCGUGUGUGUGAGCAUGAAAAGUGAAGCUGAGAUUUCAAUAGCAGAAAUCAAGCUGAGAUUGAAGACUGCUGCAGAGAAGGAUGUGGUAUGUUAAGGUCAUUUCAAUCGGCACAAAAGGCUUCAAAGAUGGAAUACAAGGCAAUCGAGACUUGAGUGUGUGCUUCAAGCCAUUAAUUAUGUAGUUGUUCAUCUACUUUUUUUUUUUAAGAGUAUAAUGAAUUCUUAUUUUUAGUUAUGUUUAUAAUUUUAUUUUGUAAUACAG